rnacentral:lncRNA from 1 species
AUCCGUCAGCCCGGUCCGUUGCAGUUUUUGGAUUUUUUAACUAAUAUAAACCCAGCCCAUUUGACGGAUUGAUCCCUAAAUUGCAUCUUGACGGACCCGGUCCGUGGGCGACGUGGCGGAAAUAGAUUGGACGGAGGCGCGAAUGUGUUUGGUCUUGGCGAGAAAAAAAUCGUCAUUUCGACGAAAGCAAAGAAAAAAAAAACCUCUCA